UACCCUGAAAUCAGACUGCCUUGAGAUAGGGUUACUUGGCGGGUAAAGCAUUUUGUCUUCCGAGGAGUCUGGUGCGUUCCCAAUUGUCCUUGAGAGACCGAAGAGAAGGUCUAUUCUCACUCCUGGUCGAU
rnacentral:rRNA from 1 species